rnacentral:rRNA from 1 species
AUGCACGCUGGCGGCGUGCCUCAUCCCUGCCAGUCGAGCGCACAGAUGAGGAGCUUGCUCCUCUGACGUUAGCGGCGGACGGGUGAGUAACACGUGGAUAACCUACCUAUAAGACUGGGAUAACUUCGGGAAACCGGAGCUAAUACCGGAUAAUAUAUUGAACCGCAUGGUUCAAUAGUGAAAGACGGUUUUGCUGUCACUUAUAGAUGGAUCCGCGCCGCAUUAGCUAGUUGGUAAGGUAACGGCUUACCAAGGCAACGAUGCGUAGCCGACCUGAGAGGGUGAUCGGCCACACUGGAACUGAGACACGGUCCAGACUCCUACGGGAGGCAGCAGUAGGGAAUCUUCCGCAAUGGGCGAAAGCCUGACGGAGCAACGCCGCGUGAGUGAUGAAGGUCUUCGGAUCGUAAAACUCUGUUAUUAGGGAAGAACAAAUGUGUAAGUAACUAUGCACGUCUUGACGGUACCUAAUCAGAAAGCCACGGCUAACUACGUG